AGGAAGCACGCUCGGCGAGAAGGACAGGGGGAGCACGUGACCGCAGGGUCGCCCGGCGCGGGAGAGACCAAAGGCCCGACGCGCCAGACGUAGGGGGGGCCGCGCGUUGUUUUAGCUUGGAAGGCGGGCCAGCCUGUGUCUCUCAGGACACGUGAGCCCCGCGCGACGUGCUAAUAAUAAUAAGGUAAGUUGACCGGUUAUUUGAGGGCGGUUCUCUUUCCGUUUUGUCGUCUUCCUCUCGGCGUGCUCAGUGCCUCCACCCCUGCACUCUUCAGUUGGUAGAGUCACAAGGGGUCGACUCCGCCCAGGUUGGCGCAGGGGCUUGCGGGGGGCCAACUAGCAAGGACGCCCGGGAACUCUCGAGAAGAGCCGACUAUGACGGUCCCAGGGUGUGGGACAAUUCGCGGGCCUGCGCGGAUGCUGUCGCAGACGUCCCGCGGACUGGGCUCCGCGCCGAGGGGGACGUCCGGGCUGGAAGGCUCCGAGAAGCGUGGGACUGAAAAACGUUGAGGACCUUUGUACUGUGCUAGGGGCCUCCAGAGUUAAAGACGGUGUGAUUUGUGUUCCUGGGGCUUAAAAACAGUGUAAAAGCAUACGUAGGUCCAAGCCUAAGUGCACAAGUAGUUCCUCGCCUUAGGACAGGUGGAUGCUAACCAAGGUGGUGCAGUUUUAAAGCUGGAACUGAUUUCAUGAUCUUCCCCAACUCCCACCCCGCUUCUUCGUUCCGUAAAUGCACCAGCAUCGGAGAUACCAAUCACUUCAGUUUUCCUCCAGGACAAUGCACCAAGAUCAGACAGAUGAGAAUUCUCACUUGAAGACAGGUAAUCACCCAUCUGAAAGAGGAGACAUGUUAUUUACCCCAGUAAGGCAAAGUCACAAGCAUUUCCUGUUCUUUUCUUUUCAUUGCUUUUCCUUUCCUUACUUUUAUUUUAUUCGGUUGUUGGUUUUAGAUGGAGCAAUGAUUUGUGCAGUGGGACUCACUCACUUAACCAGAGUAUCCCCAGGAUAGAAAAAGGACCAGGAGAGAAGGCCAUGUUCAUCAAAAGACCACCUUGUUGGCGGAUGGUGAACUUUUCCUUCAUGCCAGGCCUGCUGCACUGUCUAAUGUCACAAGUGUCUGCUCACAUUAGCUCCUGGAGACUGAAGAAGAUUCCGCAUGGGGCCUUUCCAGCAAGUUGAUUUGACAGAAUGAGUCCCCAUGCUAGCUCGUGGCACUUAUCAGUUAGCCAGCCUUCCUUGGGGAGGAGAAUUUAGAGUGCACCAUAUUCAGUUUCCAAAUCAACUGCUGUCCCCUCAGGAAGCUGUGUGUUGCAUUAUUAAAAGAGAUGCCUUUGACCAUAGCGCCAUACUUAAACAUUCAUCCACAUUAAAAAAAAAAAAAAAAAAAGGUAGAGUGAGGGGACCACUAAAUGCCCCACCCCCUUCCCUCUGUUAACUCUUUAUCCCUGGGUUUCGGGUCUCCCUCAAUGAACAGUCCUGUAACACACACACUUCUUAUUUUGUGAACCCUUGUUUUUAUUUUACUUUUUUUUUUUUUAAAGAUUUCCUCUGCCUUUAUUUUAAUUACUUGGAAUGGCUAUGAAACCUUCCCCUAAAUUUUACAACCUUGGGGCUGAGGUCACCAUAUUCCCAACCUCUGCUUUUUACUGAGUUCCCAUAGGAAAGUCAAAUCCAAGAAUCUAGCCACCAGCAGCAGCAAUGACUUUGGCUUAUCUGUUACCUACUUCUCUUAGGAGUUCAAAUGAAAUGCAAGAAUUAGUUGUGAGUUGAAAAUGAACAGAUCUGAAGCCCACAACUUUAAUUAUUACAACUUCACAUAUUUCUAAUUUUUAAAAAAAAAUAAAGUUUAUAUUCAGUUUACCUUUAUCUUUCCA
rnacentral:lncRNA from 12 species